rnacentral:rRNA from 1 species
AGAGUUUGAUCAUGGCUCAGAUUGAACGCUGGCGGCGUGCCUAACACAUGCAAGUCGAGCGGCAGCGCGGGAGCAAUCCUGACGGCGAGCGGCGGACGGGUGAGCAAUAUUUGGGAAUCUGCCUAUUAGUGGGGGACAACCCGGGGAAACUCGGGCUAAUACCGCAUACGCACUACGGUGGAAAGCCGGGGACCGCAAGGCCUGGCGCUAAUAGAUGAGCCCAAAUCGGAUUAGCUAGUUGGUGAGGUAAUGGCUCACCAAGGCUACGAUCCGUAGCUGGUCUGAGAGGACGACCAGCCACACCGGAACUGAGACACGGUCCGGACUCCUACGGGAGGCAGCAGUGGGGAAUAUUGGACAAUGGGCGAAAGCCUGAUCCAGCGACGCCGCGUGGGUGAAGAAGGCCUGCGGGUUGUAAAGCCCUUUCGGUGGGGAAGAAAAGCCUCGACUUAAUACGUUGGGGUCUUGACGUAACCCAAGAAAGAAGCACCGGCUAACUCUGUGCCAGCAGCCGCGGUAAUACAGAGGGUGCGAGCGUUAAUCGGAAUUACUGGGCGUAAAGCGCGCGUAGGCGGCUUUGCAAGUCGAGUGUGAAAUCCCCAGGCUUAACCUGGGAACUGCUCUCGAGACUGCAUAGCUAGAGUAUGGGAGAGGGAAGUGGAAUUUCAGGUAGCGGUGAAAUGCGUAGAUAUCUGAAGGAACAUCAGUGGCGAAAGCGACUUCCUGGACCAAUACUGACGCUCAUGUGCGAAAGCGUGGGGAGCAAACAGGAUUAGAUACCCUAGUAGUCC